UAACGCGUCGGCGGCGUACACCGCAGUGAGCGGUACAGAGAGAACUUGCUUCUUUGCUGACGAGCGGCGGACGGGUGAGUACGCGUAGGAAUCUACCUAUUAGUGGGGGAUAAGCCAGAGAAAUUUGGUCUAAUACCGCAUACGCCCUACGGGGGAAAGGAGGGGAUCUUCGGACCUUUCGCUAUUAGAUGGGCCUGCGUAAGAUUAGCUAGUUGGUGAGGUAAUGGCUCACCAAGGCGACGAUCUUUAGCUGGUCUGAGAGGAUGAUCAGCCACACUGGGACUGAGACACGGCCCAGACUCCUACGGGAGGCAGCAGUGGGGAAUAUUGGACAAUGGGGGGAACCCUGAUCCAGCCAUGCCGCGUGUGUGAAGAAGGCCUUCGGGUUGUAAAGCACUUUCAGAUGUGAGGAAAGGUGAGUAGUUAAUACCUGCUUACUGUGACGUUAGCAUCAGAAGAAGGACCGGCUAACUCCGUGCCAGCAGCCGCGGUAAUACGGAGGGUCCGAGCGUUAAUCGGAAUUACUGGGCGUAAGCGCGCGUAGGUGGUUCUGUCAGUCAGAUGUGAAAGCCCAGGGCUCAACCUUGGAACUGCACCUGA
rnacentral:rRNA from 1 species